AACAAACGUGAUAUUAUCGAUAGUGAUGAGAAGUUAAUUAAU
rnacentral:guide_RNA from 1 species